GACAGAGGGUGCAAACGUUGCUCGGAAUUACUGGGCGUAAAGCGCGUGUAGGCGGGCCCCCAAGUCGGACGUGAAAGCCCCGAGCUCAACUCGGGAACUGCAUCCGAAACUGAGGGCCUUGAGUGAUGGAGAGGAAGGCAGAAUUCCCGGUGUAGCGGUGAAAUGCGUAGAUAUCGGGAGGAAUACCAGUGGCGAAGGCGGCCUUCUGGACGGAUACUGACGCUGAGGCGCGAAAGCCAGGGGAGCAAACGGG
rnacentral:rRNA from 1 species